GAAGGAAAAGUUUUCCUCUUUUGGGAAAAUCGUUAGCUUGACUAUUUCAAAGGAUGAAAAUGGGAUGUCAAAGGGCUUUGGCUUUGUGAACUAUGAAAACUCAGAUGAUGCUAAAAGGGCCUUGGAAGCGAUGAACGGAACACAACUAGGGAUCAAACAUUUAUGUGAAGAACAUUGAUGACAAUGUAAGUGAUGAAGAACUGCGGGGCCAUUUUAGUGCAUGUGGCUCUAUAACUUAUGCAAAAGUUAUGAAGGACGAGAAAGGGAUAAGCAAAGGGUUUGGUUUUGUCUGUUUCUCUACUCCUGAGGAGGCCAACAAAGCUGUGAACACUUUUCAAUGGAUUUGUUGAGUUGAAGGGAAUGGCUGAUCGUAUUAUCAGUAUGCGCCAACAACUUUUUGAUGCUUUACGUUCCAGAAGUCUGCCUCUACUGAAUUUCCUUUGCAAUUUAUUCUGCUUGUAUUUGUCUGUAUGGUCCUGUAUCACUAUUGUUUCACCAAAUACCAGACUUUUUUGUUUACUCAUUCUUUACUUC